UGGGGAAUUUUGGACAAUGGGCGAAAGCCUGAUCCAGCAAUGCCGCGUGUGUGAAGAAGGCCUUCGGGUUGUAAAGCACUUUUGUCCGGAAAGAAAUCCUUGGCUCUAAUACAGUCGGGGGGAUGACGGUACCGGAAGAAUAAGCACCGGCUAACUACGUGCCAGCAGCCGCGGUAAUACGUAGGGUGCAAGCGUUAAUCGGAAUUACUGGGCGUAAAGCGUGCGCAGGCGGUUUGCUAAGACCGAUGUGAAAUCCCCGGGCUCAACCUGGGAACUGCAUUGGUGACUGGCAGGCUAGAGUAUGGCAGAGGGGGGUAGAAUUCCACGUGUANCAGUGAAAUGCGUAGAGAUGUGGAGGAAUACCGAUGGCGAAGGCAGCCCCCUGGGCCAAUACUGACGCUCAUGCACGAAAGCGUGGGGGAGCAAAACAGGAUUAGAUACCCUGGUAGUCCACGCCCUAAACGAUGUCAACUAGUUGUUGGGGACUUCAUUUCCUUAGUAACGUAGCUAACGCGUGAAGUUGACCGCCUGGGGAGUACGGUCGCAAGAUUAAAACUCAAAUGAAUUGACGGGGUCAUAGCUG
rnacentral:rRNA from 1 species